rnacentral:piRNA from 1 species
UGUCACGACUUGGUGGAGUGUCACGAC